CCGGCAACGGAUAUCUAGGCUCUCGCAUCGAUGAAGAACGUAGCGAAAUGCGAUACAUGGUGUGAAUUGCAGAAUCCCGUGAACCAUCGAGUCUUUGAACGCAAGUUGCGCCCGAGGGACCAUCCCGAGGGCACGC
rnacentral:rRNA from 1 species